UAAUAGUGCAGGGUCUUCAACUUUAAAGAAAUCAGAAACCAUCUGUUACAUAUAGUAUAAAAAUGAGUGUUGCAUUUUAAGCCUGGCCUAACAUGUGUAUAAUACACUGUUAAAUGUCGCUGUAGAUUUUGCAGCACAGUACUGUAAAAACCUACAGUACAGUACCAUAUUUCUAUAUUACAGUAAAAUACUGUAAUUUAUAUUGCAUUCUGGGUAAUUUUGAUUGAGCGGGAAUAUUUUACAGUACAUUUUAGUGUUGCUGUAACCCUGCUGUAACCUGGCUGUAAUAUACCAGGCAAUAAUACAGGAUUGCUGUAAAUAACGCGCCACCUGACGUCACAUCACACAGACAGAAGAACACGGCCGCUGGUGACUGGAGAAGCAGAACGGUGUAUUUCUGGAAGUUUGCAGUGUGGUCCACUUGUCUUUGCAUCCUGGGAAGUGCAUUGCUUUCACAAGGAAGCGUAUUUUUUUGGCAUUGAAGGAAAGAAAUGUACUGCCCGACAGGGAGUGAGCAGAAGACCAGGACGGUGGUGCAGAGUGAUGGCCAUCAACCCACAUGUCAACAGCUUCGUUCGGUCCUUUGUGUUUAAAUGGAAGACUUCACACUGAGGGACUGUGGCCUGUUUGCAGCCAUCCACGUGCACUUCAGUUUGGGGUGAAUCUUGUGGGACACUUGUUGUUUUUGCUCACUUUUUAAGAUAAAUCAAAUUUCUGAUGCACUGUACCAAGACCGUUGCUGAUGGGGCGAAAGAUGGUGACAAUUCUGAAAUGUUUUGAAAUGUUUAAAUAUAUUGAUUGAAUAAAAAUACAUUUUUUAAAUUUA